rnacentral:rRNA from 1 species
GGAAUAUUGGACAAUGGGCGAAAGCCUGAUCCAGCGACGCCGCGUGUGUGAAGAAGGCCUGCGGGUUGUAAAGCACUUUCGAUGGGAACGAAAUGUGCCGGGCUAAUACCCCGGCAAGCUGACGUUACUCAAUGAAGAAGCACCGGCUAACUCUGUGCCAGCACCCGCGGUAAUACAGAGGGUGCGAGCGUUAAUCGGAAUUACUGGGCGUAAAGCGCGCGUAGGUGGUUUGUUAAGUUGGAUGUGAAAGCCCCGGGCUCAACCUGGGAACUGCAUCCAAAACUGGCAAGCUAGAGUACGGUAGAGGGUGGUGGAGUUUCCUGUGUAGCGGUGAAAUGCGUAGAUAUAGGAAGGAACACCAGUGGCGAAGGCGACCACCUGGACUGAUACUGACACUGAGGUGCGAAAGCGUGGGGAGCAAAC